GCUUACGGCCACACCUCCCUGGCACGCCCGAUAUCGUCUGAUCUCGGAAGCUAAGCAGGGUCGGGCCUCCGGUUAGUAUUGGAUGGGAGACCGCCUGGGAAUACCAGGUGCUGUAAGCC
rnacentral:rRNA from 1 species